GGUUACAGAGUUAUUAAUUAUUUAAGCUUCAUGUCACCAUUAAAAAUUGAAAUAAAAGGAUGUUAUCACUAAUACAAGUGAGCAGGAACCUAUUUAAUCACAUCAGAAGAAGUUUCUUGAUGUUUUUUAAGUAGGUUCCUUUUAUU
rnacentral:sRNA from 1 species